GGGGGUGAUUUUGGUUUCGACCGGAAGCACGAAUUCCUAGGAGCAUGUCGAGUGGCGAAAGCUCGUUAAAAAGUCGCAUAAAAAUAGUCGCAAACGACGAAACCUACGCUUUAGCAGCUUAAUAACCUGCUCGAAGCCCUCAGUUCUAAGUCUUUCUAGUGACACUUAGUCGCACUGGGGUCGGUUCUUCACUAGAUCGUGUGGAUGCCCCGUCUGUGGUUGAAGCAUUAAAUGAAUCUUACAGACUGGGUAUUUCGUGGCGUGGCGGUCCGCAGCGGGUACUAAGAUCGAAGAUUGCCUAAACAUGUAGCGCCGACGAUGCAGUCUUUUGGGACCCGAGUUCGAGUCUCGGCACCUCCACCA
rfam:Succinatimonas sp. CAG:777 genomic scaffold, scf90